UACGUAGGGUGCGAGCGUUAAUCGGAAUUACUGGGCGUAAAGCGUGCGCAGGCGGUUUUGUAAGCCAGAUGUGAAAUCCCCGGGCUUAACCUGGGAAUGGCAUUUGGGACUGCAAGGCUGGAGUGCGGCAGAGGAGACUGGAAUUCCUGGUGUAGCAGUGAAAUGCGUAGAUAUCAGGAGGAACACCGGUGGCGAAGGCGGGUCUCUGGGCCGAUACUGACGCUGAGGAGCGAAAGCGUGGGGAGCGAACAGG
rnacentral:rRNA from 1 species